rnacentral:rRNA from 1 species
CCUGGCUCACGAUGAACGCUAGCGACAGGCUUAACACAUGCAAGUCGAGGGGCAGCGGGGGUAGCGAUACCCGCCGGCGACCGGCGCACGGGUGAGUAACGCGUAUGCAACUUACCUAUCAGAGGGGGAUAAUCCGGCGAAAGUCGGACUAAUACCGCAUGAAGCAGGGGCCCCGCAUGGGGAUAUUUGCUAAAGAUUCAUCGCUGAUAGAUAGGCAUGCGUUCCAUUAGGCAGUUGGCGGGGUAACGGCCCACCAAACCGACGAUGGAUAGGGGUUCUGAGAGGAAGGUCCCCCACAUUGGUACUGAGACACGGACCAAACUCCUACGGGAGGCAGCAGUGAGGAAUAUUGGUCAAUGGGCGUAAGCCUGAACCAGCCAAGUCGCGUGAGGGAUGAAGGUUCUAUGGAUCGUAAACCUCUUUUAUAAGGGAAUAAAGUGCGGGACGUGUCCCGUUUUGUAUGUACCUUAUGAAUAAGGAUCGGCUAACUCCGUGCCAGCAGCCGCGGUAAUACGGAGGAUCCGAGCGUUAUCCGGAUUUAUUGGGUUUAAAGGGUGCGUAGGCGGCCUUUUAAGUCAGCGGUGAAAGUCUGUGGCUCAACCAUAGAAUUGCCGUUGAAACUGGGGGGCUUGAGUAUGUUUGAGGCAGGCGGAAUGCGUGGUGUAGCGGUGAAAUGCUUAGAUAUCACGCAGAACCCCGAUUGCGAAGGCAGCCUGCCAAGCCAUGACUGACGCUGAUGCACGAAAGCGUGGGGAUCAAACAGGAUUAGAUACCCUGGUAGUCCACGCAGUAAACGAUGAUCACUAGCUGUUUGCGAUACAUUGUAAGCGGCACAGCGAAAGCGUUAAGUGAUCCACCUGGGGAGUACGCCGGCAACGGUGAAACUCAAAGGAAUUGACGGGGGCCCGCACAAGCGGAGGAACAUGUGGUUUAAUUCGAUGAUACGCGAGGAACCUUACCCGGGUUUGAACGCAUUCGGACCGAGGUGGAAACACCUUUUCUAGCAAUAGCCGUUUGCGAGGUGCUGCAUGGUUGUCGUCAGCUCGUGCCGUGAGGUGUCGGCUUAAGUGCCAUAACGAGCGCAACCCUUGCCACUAGUUACUAACAGGUAAAGCUGAGGACUCUGGUGGGACUGCCAGCGUAAGCUGCGAGGAAGGCGGGGAUGACGUCAAAUCAGCACGGCCCUUACAUCCGGGGCGACACACGUGUUACAAUGGCGUGGACAAAGGGAUGCCACCUGGCGACAGGGAGCGAAUCCCCAAACCACGUCUCAGUUCGGAUCGGAGUCUGCAACCCGACUCCGUGAAGCUGGAUUCGCUAGUAAUCGCGCAUCAGCCAUGGCGCGGUGAAUACGUUCCCGGGCCUUGUACACACCGC